rnacentral:rRNA from 1 species
AUUGAACGCUGUCGGCAUGCCUUACACAUGCAAGUCGAACGGCAGCACGGGUGCUUGCACCUGGUGGCGAGUGGCGAACGGGUGAGUAAUACAUCGGAACAUGUCCUGUAGUGGGGGAUAGCCCGGCGAAAGCCGGAUUAAUACCGCAUACGAUCUACGGAUGAAAGCGGGGGACCUUCGGGCCUCGCGCUAUAGGGUUGGCCGAUGGCUGAUUAGCUAGUUGGUGGUGUAAAGGCCUACCAAGGCGACGAUCAGUAGCUGGUCUGAGAGGACGACCAGCCACACUGGGACUGAGACACGGCCCAGACUCCUACGGGAGGCAGCAGUGGGGAAUUUUGGACAAUGGGCGAAAGCCUGAUCCAGCAAUGCCGCGUGUGUGAAGAAGGCCUUCGGGUUGUAAAGCACUUUUGUCCGGAAAGAAAUCCUUGGCCCUAAUACGGUCGGGGGAUGACGGUACCGGAAGAAUAAGCACCGGCUAACUACGUG